UACGGAGGGUGCAAGCGUUAUCCGGAUUCACUGGGUUUAAAGGGUGCGUAGGUGGGCAGGUAAGUCAGUGGUGAGAUCUCCGGGCUUAACCCGGAAACUGCCAUUGAUACUAUUUGUCUUGAAUACUGUGGAGGUCAGCGGAAUAUGUCAUGUAGCGGUGAAAUGCUUAGAUAUGACAUAGAACACCAAUUGCGAAGGCAGCUGGCUACACAAAUAUUGACACUGAGGCACGAAAGCGUGGGGAUCAAACAGG
rnacentral:rRNA from 1 species